ACUCCUACGGGAGGCAGCAGUAGGGAAUAUUGGUCAAUGGGCGCAAGCCUGAACCAGCCACGCCGCGUGCGGGAGGAAGGCGCUACGCGUCGUAAACCGCUUUUGUUGGGGAAGAAACCUCUUAUUUAAAGAGCUGACGGUACCCAAAGAAUAAGGACCGGCUAACUCCGUGCCAGCAGCCGCGGUAAUACGGAGGGUCCGAGCGUUGUCCGGAUUUAUUGGGUUUAAAGGGUGCGUAGGCGGACUUGUAAGCGGGCGGUGAAAGCGUGCGGCUCAACCGUGCAAUGGCCGCCCGAACUGCAAGUCUUGGGUGCGGACGACGUGGGCGGAAUGUGCCGUGUAGCGGUGAAAUGCUUAGAUAUGGCACAGAACGCCGAUUGCGAAGGCAGCUCACGAGGGCGCCACCGACGCUGAGGCACGAAAGCGUGGGGAUCAAACAGGAUUAGAUACCCUGGUAGUCCACGCUGUAAACGAUGGAUACUCGCCGCUGGCGAUAUAGAGUCAGUGGCUUAGCGAAAGCGUUAAGUAUCCCACCUGGGGAGUACGCCGGCAACGGUGAAACUCAAAGGAAUUGACGGGGGCCCGCACAAGC
rnacentral:rRNA from 1 species